AGAGUUUGAUCAUGGCUCAGAUUGAACGCUGGCGGCAGGCCUAACACAUGCAAGUCGAGCGCGAAAGUUCUUCGGAACGAGUAGAGCGGCGGACGGUGAGUAACGCGUGGGAAAAUUGCCAGUAGUGGGGGACAACAUUCGGAAACGGAUGCUAAUACCGCAUACGCCCUACGGGGGAAAGCAGGGGAUCUUCGGACCUUGCGCUACUGGAUAUGCCCGCGUCGGAUUAGCUAGUUUGGUGAGGUAAUGGCUCACCAAGGCGAACGAUCCGUAUCUGGGUCUGAGAGGAUGAUCAGCCACACUGGGACUGAGACACGGCCCAGACUCCUACGGGAGGCAGCAGUGGGGAAUAUUGGACAAUGGGCGCAAGCCUGAUCCAGCCAUGCCGCGUGUGUGAAGAAGGCCCUAGGGUUGUAAAGCACUUUCAGCAGGGAGGAAGGCCUUAAAGUUAAUACCUUUGAGGAUUGACGUUACCUGCAGAAGAAGCACCGGCUAACUCCGUGCCAGCAGCCGCGGUAAUAC
rnacentral:rRNA from 1 species